rnacentral:tRNA from 1 species
GGAAGCAGAUGGGUGCUGGUGUGCCCUCCAGUCUUCAAAACUGGUUUGGGGAGUUAAGAGCUUCCUAGGUGGGUUCAAUUCCCACAUGCUUCCGCCA